rnacentral:rRNA from 1 species
GAUGAACGCUGGCGGCGUGCCUAAUACAUGCAAGUCGAGCGAACGGACGAGAAGCUUGCUUCUCUGAUGUUAGCGGCGGACGGGUGAGUAACACGUGGAUAACCUACCUAUAAGACUGGGAUAACUUCGGGAAACCGGAGCUAAUACCGGAUAAUAUUUUGAACCGCAUGGUUCAAAAGUGAAAGACGGUCUUGCUGUCACUUAUAGAUGGAUCCGCGCUGCAUUAGCUAGUUGGUAAGGUAACGGCUUACCAAGGCAACGAUGCAUAGCCGACCUGAGAGGGUGAUCGGCCACACUGGAACUGAGACACGGUCCAGACUCCUACGGGAGGCAGCAGUAGGGAAUCUUCCGCAAUGGGCGAAAGCCUGACGGAGCAACGCCGCGUGAGUGAUGAAGGUCUUCGGAUCGUAAAACUCUGUUAUUAGGGAAGAACAUAUGUGUAAGUAACUGUGCACAUCUUGACGGUACCUAAUCAGAAAGCCACGGCUAACUACGUGCCAGCAGCCGCGGUAAUACGUAGGUGGCAAGCGUUAUCCGGAAUUAUUGGGCGUAAAGCGCGCGUAGCGGUUUUUUAAGUCUGAUGUGAAAGCCCACGGCUCAACCGUGGAGGGUCAUUGGAAACUGGAAAACUUGAGUGCAGAAGAGGAAAGUGGAAUUCCAUGUGUAGCGGUGAAAUGCGCAGAGAUAUGGAGGAACACCAGUGGCGAAGGCGACUUUCUGGUCUGUAACUGACGCUGAUGUGCGAAAGCGUGGGGAUCAAACAGGAUUAGAUACCCUGGUAGUCCACGCCGUAAACGAUGAGUGCUAAGUGUUAGGGGGUUUCCGCCCCUUAGUGCUGCAGCUAACGCAUUAAGCACUCCGCCUGGGGAGUACGACCGCAAGGUUGAAACUCAAAGGAAUUGACGGGGACCCGCACAAGCGGUGGAGCAUGUGGUUUAAUUCGAAGCAACGCGAAGAACCUUACCAAAUCUUGACAUCCUUUGACAACUCUAGAGAUAGAGCCUUCCCCUUCGGGGGACAAAGUGACAGGUGGUGCAUGGUUGUCGUCAGCUCGUGUCGUGAGAUGUUGGGUUAAGUCCCGCAACGAGCGCAACCCUUAAGCUUAGUUGCCAUCAUCAAGCUGGGCACUCUAAGUUGACUGCCGGUGACAAACCGGAGGAAGGUGGGGAUGACGUCAAAUCAUCAUGCCCCUUAUGAUUUGGGCUACACACGUGCUACAAUGGACAAUACAAAGGGCAGCGAAACCGCGAGGUCAAGCAAAUCCCAUAAAGUUGUUCUCAGUUCGGAUUGUAGUCUGCAACUCGACUACAUGAAGCUGGAAUCGCUAGUAAUCGUAGAUCAGCAUGCUACGGUGAAUACGUUCCCGGGUCU